rnacentral:lncRNA from 1 species
GCCGGGACGCCAGCGAGGACGGGGAAGGAGGGCCGGGGAAAGCCAGAGAGGCCGGGCAGGGGGCCAGGGCUGCACAGCAGCCAGCACGGCUGGCGCUACUGCGCGGGGUCCCUGCCACCCCUCGCUGCACGGCCACGGCCUCCUGCGGCCACGGCCAUGGCCCUGCACGGCGCCCGGCUCCUGCCUGGUGUCCUGCUCCUGCACGGCACCUGGCUUCUGCACCGCUCCCCUCCAUGGCCUUGCGUGGCCACGGCCUCCCACGGCCACAGCCACGGCCCCGCACGGCGCCCGGCUCCUGCACGGCUCCUGGCUCCUGCACGGCUCCCCUGCACGGCUUCGCACAGCCAGGACCUUGCACGGCUCCCAGCUCCUGCACGGCCACAGCCACGGCUGUGCACGGCGCAUGGUUCCUGCAUUGCACCCGGCUCCUGCACAGCUCCCUCCAUGGCCUUGUGUGGCCAUGGCUUCACAUGGAUCCCCACUCGUGCACGGCUACGGCCUCCCAUGGCCACGGCCCCACACGGCUCCCUGCUCCUGCACGGCACCCUGCUCCUGCACGACUCCCCUGCAUGGCCUUGCACAGCCAGGGCCUUGCACGGCUCACGGCUCCUGCACAGCUAYGGCCUUCCAUGGCCAUGGCCCUGCACGGCAUCCAGCUCCUGCACAGCUCCCGGCUCCUGCACAGCCACGGCCACAGCCCAUCACAGCGCCCUGCUCCUGCACGGCUCCCCUCCAUGGCCUUGCAUGGCCACAGCCUCUCGUUGCUCCCUGCUCCUGCACGGCUCCUGGCUCCUGCAUGUCACCCGGCUCCUGCACGGCUCCUGGCUCCUGCACAGCGCCCUGCUCCUGCACGGCUCCUGGCUCCUGCACGGCUCCCCUGCACAGCCCCACAUAGCUCCGGCCAUGGUCUCCCUCCCUGCAUCCUGCUUCCCGCAGGGCCACCACGGCCCUUGCACAGCCGCAGCUCCCUGGCUGCACCCGCCUCCCACAGGGCCCCAGCCCACGGCACACCGGCACGGGGGUGCAAAGGCGCCAGGGCAGGGCCCCCGCCGGGCACACGGCCCCCGGCUCGGGGCUCCCCGGUGCCCCGGGGGCUCCCGGCGUCUCCGGAAAGCCUGACCGGGGCCAAGCUGCCCAUGGCCCGGCCCCAGCGACGCUCCGGAGCCUCCUGUGCCCCAUGACACGGCCCCCAGCCCCACUGCGGGGGGCCGGUGCCUGGAGCUGGGAUACCCGUAGCUGGGGCCGCACCCCYGCAGGCGUGCGCCCCGACCCCUGCCCCGGCCUGCCGGGACCCCCGGCCGCUGUGGGGCCCUUCCCUUCGCCCGCAGGCACCCGUGUGCCCCCCCUGCCCCUCACGCCCGGCUCUGCCCUAGCGCUGGGUCCUCGUGCGGCCCCGGUGCUGCGCGCCCCCGUCCCCGUCCCUCCCCGC